rnacentral:lncRNA from 1 species
UUUCCAGUAAGUGCCACUUUAGAUUAUAUCCCAUUUUGUGUGGUGUCCUAUAUCAGUUAAACCCACCGUAUUCAUUGUAUAAAUCAAAUUUUUCAUAUACUUACUGUAUUAGUCCAUUUUCACGCUGCUGAUAAAGACAUACCCAAGACUGAGUAAUUUAUAAAGUAAAAGAGGUUUAAUGGACUCACAGUUCCAUGUGGCUGGGGAGGCCUCAUAAUCAUGGUGGGUGAAAGGCACUUCUGACAUGCUGGUGGCAAGAGAGAAUCAGAGCACCAAGCAAAAAGGAAACCCCUUGUCAAAUCACCAGAUCUCAUGAGACUUAUUCACUACCAUGAGAACAGUAUCAGGGAAACCACUCCCAAGAUUCAGUUAUCUCCCACUGGGUCCCUCCCACAAUAUGUGGGAAUUGUGGGAGCUGCAAUUCAAGAUGAGAUUUGGGUGGGGACAUAGCCAAAACAAGUUAUCUCCCACCAGGUCCCUCCCACAUGUGGGAAUUAAGGGAGCUGCAAUUCAAGAAGAGAUUUGGGUGGGGACACAGCCAAACCAGAUCACUUACCAAUUAUGUGCUGUCCUGCUCUAUCAAUUCCUAAGAAAAGUGUGCAAAAAUUUCCAAAUGGUAAUGUGGAUUUGUAGUUUAUUCCUCUAAUUGUCCUAUUUUGUAUAAUACAUUCUUUGGUCUAUGUUAAUUUGAAAUUUUGAACAUAGAAUCAUUAUAUCUUCAUAGAAAAUUGUACUUUUAUCCUUAUAUAAUGACCCUUUUUAUUCCUAACGAUGGUUUCCCUAAAGCUUAUGUUACCCAAUUAAUGUUUGCCAGGUAUAUAUUUUUCCACUCAUACUCACUUUUUAUAACAUUUUUAUGCAUUUAUUUUAUAAACAUAUACAUGGAAUAUUUUAAAGCAUAAUGCGACAUUCUGCUUUUAAACCGAUGAGUUUAUAUGAUUUGUGAUUAUUGAUACAGUUGGCUGGGUGCGGUGGCUCACGCCUGUAAUCCCAGCAUUUUGGGAAGCCGAGGUGGGCAGAUUACUAGGUCAGGAGAUCGAGACCAUCCUGGCUAACAUGGUGAACCCCCAUCUCUACUAAAAAUACAAAAAAUUAGCCGGGUGUGGUGGUGGGUGCCU